GUUUAUGUCCAACAUUUCAGUUAAAAGUGAUGCAAGAGCACAAAGGGGAGAGAAGUAUGGGUAGUUUAUCAGUUGCAGCAGAGGUGUUUGAGAUAAGCCCAUCUUUAUUUGUUGUUGAAAUAAGAAAGUCAUAUGGUGAUUCUUCUGCAUAUAGACAGUUGUGUGAAAAGCUAUCAAAUGAUUUAGGUGUUCCCGCAAGCCAAGGGUUGUUGACUAGCCAAGUGUGAAAACCAUGUUCUUUGCAAAGUCAAACAACAUGGUAUUUAAAGCCUUGGAGAGAUGUAGAUAGUAUAGAAUCCUAUAUUACGAUUUGUGUAAAUUUUCAGUUUUGGAUGUAUGUCAGUGUUAAUAUGUAAGACUCGAGUAAAUGUGAAAUAUAUUUUUGAUUGCAAGAAGAUAUCCUUGUGAAGAA